rnacentral:tRNA from 1 species
GCCCGGGUGGCUCAGUGGUUGGGCGCCUGCCUUUGGCUCAGGUCAUGAUCCUGGGAUUGGGGAUCGAAUCCCUCAUCGGGCU